GACGAACGCUGGCGGCGUGCCUAAUACAUGCAAGUAGAGCGCAGUUGCGAACAGGUGAGUGACGCGUAGAUAACUACCUGUUAGAGGGGGAUAACUAUUGGCAACGAUAGCUAAUACCGCAUACUAGUAGAUGGCCCUGCGUUGUAUUAGCUAGUAGGUAGGGUAAUGGCCUACCUAGGGAACGAUUCAUAGCCGACUCGUGGAGGGUAGCGGCCAAACGGGGAACGGGGAAAGGCCCAGACUCCUUCGGGAGGCAAGAGUAGGGAAAUUUCGGAAAGGGGGGGAAACCUGACCGAGCAACGCCGCGUGAGGGAAGAAGGGUUUCGGAUCGGUAAGCCCUGUUGUUAAGGAAGCGGUACUUAACCAGAAAGGGACGGCUAACUACGUGCCAGCAGCCGCGGUAAUAC
rnacentral:rRNA from 1 species